CAGAUACUGACACUCAGAUGCGAAAGCGUGGGGAGCAAACAGGAUUAGAUACCUGGUAGUCCACGCCGUAAACGAUGUCUACUUGGAGGUUGUGGCCCUGAGCCGUGGCUUUCGGAGCUAACGCGUUAAGUAGACCGCCUGGGGAGUACGGUCGCAAGAUUAAAACUCAAAUGAAUUGACGGGGGCCCGCACAAGCGGUGGAGCAUGUGGUUUAAUUCGAUGCAACGCGAAGAACCUUACCUACUCUUGACAUCCAGAGAACUUUCCAGAGAUGGAUUGGUGCCUUCGGGAACUCUGAGACAGGUGCUGCAUGGCUGUCGUCAGCUCGUGUUGUGAAAUGUUGGGUUAAGUCCCGCAACGAGCGCAACCCUUAUCCUUGUUUGCCAGCGAGUAAUGUCGGGAACUCCAGGGAGACUGCCGGUGAUAAACCGGAGGAAGGUGGGGACGACGUCAAGUCAUCAUGGCCCUUACGAGUAGGGCUACACACGUGCUACAAUGGCGCAUACAGAGGGCAGCCAACUUGCGAGAGUGAGCGAAUCCCAAAAAGUGCGUCGUAGUCCGGAUCGGAGUCUGCAACUCGACUCCAUGAAGUCGGAAUCGCUAGUAAUCGUGGAUCAGAAUGCCACGGUGAAUACGUUCCCGGGCCUUGUACACACCGCCCGUCACACCAUGGGAGUGG
rnacentral:rRNA from 1 species